rnacentral:tRNA from 2 species
CGGGGAUUAGCUCAGAUGGAUUAGAGCGCACGCAUGGGGUGCGUGAGGCCACCAGUUCAAGUCUGGUAUCCCCGA